ACAGCGUGCGGCACGUGAGCCAGAUUUGGAAGGAUAAACAAGACUUAGCAAAUGGACAGGGCAAAGGGCAGCACAGGCAGAUGGAGCCGUGUGUACAGAGGCACAGCAGCAUGAACAAAAACUGCUCAGUGCAGGGGAAUCGAGUGCCACAGGGAAUUAGCAUGGAAAUAAAGUGAAAAGUCGGACACAGCCAGAUAAUAAAACUGUAAAGAGAGAAGAAAAGCAAAGAGAGAAAGCAAUAUGCCUAAGUCAGUUCGGCAGGUGGAACAGGAUUCAAAGCCAGGAACUCAAGUUUUGUCCAUUUACCUCUUCCUGGAUUCUGAGUUUGCCUGCUGACCUGGGCUUCCUCAUUUUAUGUAGUACCUUACAGUGUAAUCCAGAGGAAGAACUCAGGAGUGAAUGAACUUGGAAAGACAGAAGUUAGACUGGAAUUGGAAAAAAGACACAAUCAGUAGAGAUGUCAUUUAGACCCUGACACCAGUGUUUCUAUAAGAGUGAUGGAUUCUGAUACAAUACAGGGAAAUGAUCUUUGAAUAUGUGAUAGAAUUUUUAAAAAAUGUUUUGCAUGGGGCAGCCAACAGAUGGUCCAUAUCCUUGAGACUCAACUCUUGAUUUUGGGGGGUAGGGGGCAGUGGGUGCUAAGAAUUGAACCAGGGCCUUGUACAUGCUAAGCAUGCAUUCUACCGUGGAGUUACAGCCUCAAGCCUAUACGCAUGCGCGCGCGCACACACACACACACACACACACACACACACAAAUAUGUAUAUAUAUAGAACAUACACAUAUUUUUUAAAAUAAUUUUAUGGUUACAAAAAUAGACUUACUUUCCAUUCUACAAAAGAGGAUGAUAAGUUCUAUUAUGUUUGUUAUAUACUUUCCUCAUAUUAGAAUUACUUCUUAUAUAUUAAGAAUUUUUAGGAGUAUUUCUUUAAGAAUUUAGGAGAUUAUGAUCAAAUAGCAUAUGUCUACCUACAUACUCAAUUUUAAUCUAUAUUACAAAUUGAUUUGAUUUUUUAAUUUGCACAAGGACUGAGAUAAGAGUUCACUUAUGGGCAGUAUCCUUCAAAGGGACAGUGUGGGUUGAAAAACCCCAAGGAGAACUUAAUUUUAAGCAAUUUUGGAUGCUCCCAGGUGCCCAGAAGCAAAUACAAAUGUUUCCUAGAGAAUGUGCCCUCAGGGGACAUUCACACAACUCUCACAGCACAACGUGGGCUCACAAUUUAAAGAAAAAAGAUAAUCAAGGAACACUUGAAGAAUACUACCAUGAAUAAGUGACAGCAGAAACACCAAAUGAUAAAAGCACCCCCAAAAAGACUUCAGAUGUUAGAAUCACUGGAUAAAACAUUUAAUAUGCUGACAGAGAUAAAAGUGAUGGCAAAAGAACAGGAAGGGGGCUGGGGUUGUGGCUCAGUGGUAGAGGGCUUGCCUAGCAUAUGUGAGGUACUGGGUUCAAUUCUCAGCACCACAUAUAAACAAAUAAAGUCC